AUGUGAAGUGUUAAUUAAUGAAGUGCUGACCCAACCGGCCAGCUGAUGGCCUCUUAUGAAGGAAGCUGUAAAAAUCUUGACUCUGAACCUCUGUGCAAGGGUAUUUGCCUCCCUGCUGUGUGGCAGGAUGCGCUAGAAAUCUCUGUAUCAUUUUUGGAUUUUCCGAUUGCUUUUCCGUGAGGCAGCUGUAUGAAACCUGAUUUGCAGGAGUGUUUCUGCAGGGUUGGCUGUUCAGCAGCGAUCCCGAAGAGCACACGGAUGUGUCGGGAGCGCGAGCGCCGCCCUCGCCACCCUUGUCACCGCCAGCGGAGCAGCAAAGCCCCACGGGUGCUGGGGGGAGGCUCCCUGCAGCCCCACGAGCAGGGGAGAGACUUGAAGCAAAACACC